rnacentral:lncRNA from 1 species
UUCACCCGGCAGUGCUUUGUUGUUGACAGAUAAGAAACAUCAGAAGCGGUUAAGGCUUACGGAAUGAGGUCAGUCAGAUAACCUUACUUGCUUCCGCGCCUAUAAUUCUAAGUCAAAGCCUUCACUUGACUUGCUUGACUUAUUAGUGGUUUUGAGCAUCUAAAGGAAUAAGGGUAAUCAGUAAGUUCGGGUGCUAAAUCUCUGACUGGCUUUGAUCUAAGUAAGGAAGUAGAAUCUCUUUCAUCCCAACAAGCAGACAAAUAAAGGCAAAGAGAGAAGACAAGUAACGGCGCAAGUACUGUGUU